UCUCUAGUGGCUCAGUUGGUAAAGUGUCUGCCUGCAAUGCUGAUGACCCAGGUUCAAUCCCUGGGUAGGGAA